AUACGCUCGUUUACGCAUAUACAACAGUGACGUCACGAACUGAAAAAUUCGUGGACUGAUUUAUCGAACAGCGUGACGUAUCGUUUCUCAAAGAAAAUCCUAUCAGCGGCUCAUUCGACUGAACGGUCCGGAAUUUCGAGAGCAGAGCACAAGUUUGAAAAGGCAAAUACGACAGAAAAAGAAGUCAGACGAGGCAUCUCCUGAAAAGUUAACGCAUUCGGGGUGGUUCUCACGUUUCUUCACUAACGACGAAGGGCGUCUUGAGAAAACGCGGCAUCGGAUGUGACAGGGAUGAUGACGUCACGCGUCGGACAGAUAGCAACGAAGUAAUUAGUGUCGAGGAUGCUUCAUCAGUCAAGGAGAGACACCCCCACGUCACCAGCGAACGGAGACCGUUACCUGUCAUCUCUUCAUUAAAACACAACCCCCGGAAAUCAUCUAUAAAGCAUGAGUAUUCAACCGAAUACGAGACCCUUCUAGCACACCCCAGCUGAUUUUUGGGAAAGAAUAAAGCCAAAGACGCUGGUAUCGGGGCACCCAGAAUCCCCCAGUACUCGCCUCUUUGUGCCCGUAUCCAUGGGUAUACCCGAGAGCGAUAAAUUUUCUGAAGGAGCCAACAAGGAACACGUGCGGGAUGGUAUUGUGGAUAAGGUGAGGUAGGCAUAAGACCGGCCAGGGGCCGGAUCUGACCCAGUUACGUCAUGUCACGUCACGGUCCGCCAUGGUACGCGGCACGU